GUUGAUGAUCGGUGCUUGCACCGAGAUUCAACAUGGAACGAGUGGCGGACGGGUGAGUAACACGUGGGUAACCUGCCCUUAAGUGGGGGAUAACAUUUGGAAACAGAUGCUAAUACCGCAUAGAUCCAAGAACCGCAUGGUUCUUGGCUGAAAGAUGGCGUAAGCUAUCGCUUUUGGAUGGACCCGCGGCGUAUUAGCUAGUUGGUGAGGUAAUGGCUCACCAAGGCGAUGAUACGUAGCCGAACUGAGAGGUUGAUCGGCCACAUUGGGACUGAGACACGGCCCAAACUCCUACGGGAGGCAGCAGUAGGGAAUCUUCCACAAUGGACGCAAGUCUGAUGGAGCAACGCCGCGUGAGUGAAGAAGGCUUUCGGGUCGUAAAACUCUGUUGUUGGAGAAGAAUGGUCGGCAGAGUAACUGUUGUCGGCGUGACGGUAUCCAACCAGAAAGCCACGGCUAACUACGUGCCAGCAGCCGCGGUAAUACGUAGGUGGCAAGCGUUAUCCGGAUUUAUUGGGCGUAAAGCGAGCGCAGGCGGUUUUUUAAGUCUGAUGUGAAAGCCCUCGGCUUAACCGAGGAAGCGCAUCGGAAACUGGGAAACUUGAGUGCAGAAGAGGACAGUGGAACUCCAUGUGUAGCGGUGAAAUGCGUAGAUAUAUGGAAGAACACCAGUGGCGAAGGCGGCUGUCUGGUCUGUAACUGACGCUGAGGCUCGAAAGCAUGGGUAGCGAACAGGAUUAGAUACCCUGGUAGUCCAUGCCGUAAACGAUGAAUGCUAGGUGUUGGAGGGUUUCCGCCCUUCAGUGCCGCAGCUAACGCAUUAAGCAUUCCGCCUGGGGAGUACGACCGCAAGGUUGAAACUCAAAGGAAUUGACGGGGGCCCGCACAAGCGGUGGAGCAUGUGGUUUAAUUCGAAGCAACGCGAAGAACCUUACCAGGUCUUGA
rnacentral:rRNA from 1 species